UUGCAGAAUCCAGAUACUGGUUUCGUCUUCUGAUCUUCGUCAUAUUUACGUAGAUGUAACACUUGUGUACAAGAAUUUCCACUUAACGAAGAUCCAUCAAAGAAUGUACUUAACCAGUUUUCUCAUGUAAUUGAUUUACUUCAGGGAAAGACGAAGAAGAGUCGUUAAAAUCAAACGACUUGUCUAUCAAGACGUAUCUACUGAAGACGAGGCGACCCGGCAAUGGAUUAUGAGAUACGGCACAGUAAUUACCACGAAUUGUCAGCGUUGUCAGAGUUGAAUGUUGGUCCAUUACAAAUGUAAUUGCAUAACUCGUGCAACGUUGGACUUUGUUGAACGAGUCCGAGUGUUAAGUAUUCUCUUCCUGAAAGAUUCUACUUCUCUUCGUUUUCCCCCCAUCUUUUAUUUUCGUCUCUGUUAUACUUUCAAUUUGGAAAAAAUUGAACGAAAUAGAAAAAAAUUUGCACGCAAGGUUUAGAAGUUUGAACGCAUAAUGGUUAUUAAGUAAUUGCGUUCAAACAACGACUUGUCGUGGAAGCAUAUAGUGG